rnacentral:rRNA from 1 species
GACGAACGCUGGCGGCGUGCCUAAUACAUGCAAGUAGAACGCUGAAGGAGGAGCUUGCUCUUCUGGAUGAGUUGCGAACGGGUGAGUAACGCGUAGGUAACCUGCCUGGUAGCGGGGGAUAACUAUUGGAAACGAUAGCUAAUACCGCAUAAGAGUAGAUGUUGCAUGACAUUUGCUUAAAAGGUGCAAUUGCAUCACUACCAGAUGGACCUGCGUUGUAUUAGCUAGUUGGUGGGGUAACGGCUCACCAAGGCGACGAUACAUAGCCGACCUGAGAGGGUAUCGGGCAAACUGGGAACGGAACACGGGCCAAACUUCUACGGGAGGCAACAGUAGGGAAUUUUUGGGAAUUGACGGAAGGCCUAACGAAGAACGGCGGGGUAGUGAAGAAGGUUUUCGGAUCGUAAAGCUCUGUUGUAAGAGAAGAACGAGUGUGAGAGUGGAAAGUUCACACUGUGACGGUAUCUUACCAGAAAGGGACGGCUAACUACGUG